rnacentral:rRNA from 1 species
CUACCUACGGGGGGCAGCAGUGGGGAAUAUUGCACAAUGGGGGGAACCCUGAUGCAGCGACGCCGCGUGGGCGAUGGAGUAUUUCGGUAUGUAAAGCCCUAUCGGCAGGGAAGAAACUGACAGUACCUGGCUAAGAAGCCCCGGCUAACUACGUGCCAGCAGCCGCGGUAAUACGUAGGGGGCAAGCGUUAUCCGGAUUCACUGGGCGUAAAGGGAGCGCAGGCGGCACGGCAAGCCUGGGGGGAAAACCCGGGGCCCAACCCCGGGGGUGGAUUGGGAACUGCCGCGGUAGAGUGGCGGAGGGG